rnacentral:rRNA from 1 species
UACGAAGGGGGCUAGCGUUGCUCGGAAUCACUGGGCGUAAAGGGUGCGUAGACGGUUAUUUAAGUCGGGUGUGAAAGCCCCGGGCUCAACCUGGGAAUUGCAUUCGAGACUGAAUAGCUAGGGUACGGUAGAGGGAAGCGGAAUUUCCGGUGUAGCGGUGAAAUGCGUAGAUAUCUGAAGGAACACCAGUGGCGAAGGCGGCUCACUGGCCCAUUACUGACGCUGAGGCACGAAAGCGUGGGGAGCAAACAGG